ACUUGGCAGCUUCUCCGCGCUGGAAAAGUCGUUGCUGGGCGACGCUCGCAGCAACGCGUUCCUAGGAUGCCCGUACGCGUCCGCAGCUUGCGGUCUGGGCGCUGCUUGUGAACAGCACUGGAUGCGGAGUCCGAGUGCGCUUGAGCCACACAGGGACAGGGGCGCCGGACUACUACGCAGGGCUCUCGUAAGUGAGUUCUCAGAGGUCUGGAACCUCUGCCCCUUGACGUCACCAGGAGGUAGUCCUGGAAACGGGGAUACUGAGAUGGAGAGGCUUGAGCGCUGCCGCAAAGGAAAAAUCAGACGCAGACACGAGAAAUUCUGUGCUGUCUGGGACGCAGGAGGAGGAGAGUCCUCGUCACUGGGAGCCCAGCUCCGCCGCUCCUGCCCGGAUGCUCGGUGGUCCGCAGAAAGCUCCCUUCUUAGUCGCUGACUCAGGACUAUGAUAGCAGUGGCACUCAGAGGUGGCUUAAUGGAGAGCAUACCUUUAUUCGUCUUUUGCUCGCAGAUCUCUUAGCCACCCUUCCCUGCCCGCUCUGUGAUGUACAGAAUGCGGACACACUCACUCCCUGUACAAAUGGUACCUGCUGGAGCUCAGCCAGUUGAAGCCAACGAUAGAAACUGCAAGAGGAGACUCUCGGCUUCAGCCUGGAAUUUGACUACGACUCUAACAAGCCGAGACUCUCAACACUCAGCUCUCAGCCCAUUCUUAGCUCCAGCCUAUUUUGUACCACCCACACAGAUGAUGCUCCAUCAGAAGGUCUAGAAUAAGGCCAUAGUGAAUAACUAUCAGUCAUUCCUGGUGUUUCUUCCACCCCGGGGCCAGUAGCUAACCUUCAGGUGAUCCACUUUUCUGUUUCCAUCAUCCAUGUAGUCAGAGCUCAGUCCUCAGUCCCUGUAGCCUCUGUUUUGUUGAGUGGUCCUAGCACUGCCCUUUGGUAAUAGGAGUGAUCCCAGCAAGAAGUCUUAAGGUGGCUUUCUGGACUGAGCACUCACACAUUUAAUUGCAGAUGUAUUGACAGUUAUUUGAGGGUGGCCAAUGAGCCAGGAAAAGCCAGAGCGGUUUGCUUUUCUGUGUGGCUACUUGAAGUGAAAUGUCAGCAGAUAGAUGAAAACACUUAGAAAGUAGCUGCUCCAGCACAGUCUUGACAACAGGAGCUGAUGUCACCAAGUCAGGUGACUCGAGUUCCCCAGAACCCACAGAGCAGGAGAAAAGCAACUACCUCAGUUGGUCCACUCACCUCCACCAUACAAAAUGAAGUCAGUCAAGUUAGGACAUUGUAAAUCAACUAAGCCAGUGACC
rnacentral:lncRNA from 1 species